AAUAUUAGACAACGGGGGGAACCCUGAUCCAGCCAUGCCGCGUGGGUGAAGAAGGUCUUCGGAUUGUAAAGCACUUCAAUUUGGGAGGAGGGGAAGUAAGUUAAUACCAUGCUGUUUUGCCGUUACCGACAGAAUAAGCACCGGCUAACUUAGUGCCAGCAGCCGCGGUAAUACGAAGGGUGCAAGGGUUAAUCGGAAUUAAUGGGCGUAAAGCGCGCGGUAGUGGUUUGUUUAGUUGGGAGUGAAAGCCCCGGGCUCAACCUGGGAACUGCUUUCAAAACUGGCAAGCUAGGGUAUGGCAGAGGGUGGUGGAAUUUCCUGUGUAGCGGUGAAAUGCGUAGAUAUAGGAAGGAACACCAGUGGCGAAGGCGACCACCUGGGCUAAUACUGACACUGAGGUGCGAAAGCGUGGGGAGCAAACAGG
rnacentral:rRNA from 1 species